rnacentral:rRNA from 1 species
GACGAACGCUGGCGGCGUGCUUAACACAUGCAAGUCGAACGGAAAGGCCCUGCUUUUGUGGGGUGCUCGAGUGGCGAACGGGUGAGUAACACGUGAGUAACCUGCCCUUGACUUUGGGAUAACUUCAGGAAACUGGGGCUAAUACCGGAUAGGAGCUCCUGCUGCAUGGUGGGGGUUGGAAAGUUUCGGCGGUUGGGGAUGGACUCGCGGCUUAUCAGCUUGUUGGUGGGGUAGUGGCUUACCAAGGCUUUGACGGGUCGCCGGCCUGAGAGGGUGACCGGCCACAAUGGGACUGAGAUACGGCCCAGACUCCUACGGGAGGCAGCAGGGGGGAAUAUUGCACAAUGGGCGGAAGCCUGAUGCAGCAACGCCGCGUGCGGGAUGACGGCCUUCGGGUUGUAAACCGCGUUCGCCUGUGACGAAGCGUGAGUGACGGUAAUGGGUAAAGAAGCACCGGCUAACUACGUG